AUGGCGAGUUUGGUGCCCGUAUUACAGCCAUCGCGGCGCAGGUGGCUUCAGAGGUGUCGGUGGUGGUCGCAUCGGAGGUGCCGGCUGCCGUUGCAGCAGCGCUACAGGCUGCGCGCGGGGCGCCACGAGUACCUCGACCUCGCGACCACAUCGACCCCAACUGCGUCGGUGGCGGGCGACCAUGCCUCUGUUCCUCAUGCAUCCAUGGUGGUCUAUGCCCAGAGAUCAACAUCAGCCUCCGAGCAGCAGCAGCAACAACAGGAAGAUGUGACACCGCGCCAGGCCAUUGAGAACAUAGUCGACAACGUCCUAGCUGCCUGGACGCCCACCACCUUUUCGACGCGAUGCCAAAGCCGUGACGUUACUGUAUCGGUGUCAGCGCCCGUUUCCGCCACAACAUCAGCGUCAUCCGAGGUCACCGUCGGUGUCGUCACCGAGUGUUACUACAUCAACCUCGAGGCCGCGGCCGCGACCUCGACUCUGACCUCCGCACUGGACAUCUCGGGUGCCUGUUCAGGGAUGAACUCACUUGCCCUCCCUACAACCAGUGGCUGCUCCGUCAUGGUGCACACCACUUGUUCGACGCGAUGCCCAAGUUGCGACUCAUCCGAGGAGUCGAUGCUCACCUCGUCAGCAGAACCACCUUCAUCCCUGCCUACUGUUGACAUUGUUGCUGAGCCCGCUACAUCAGUGGAAAGGGAUGAGGCCAUGGAUGUUGCUGCACCGGCGGCUAUCAACUGCACAACGGGAGGUCUCGACCACAACGCGGUCGGCAAUUCCAUGACGCCAUGCCUGGACCCUUGGAGUACGCCUAUGUUGGCUUCCUAUGCGACGACCUUGGCAGCGGCAACGGCCGCGGCUUCCCUGGCCUUGAGUGUUGUGUCUCCUGUCAACGGCAACAUCAGCAUAACCCAAGAGCAAACAGAAGAAACGGGUAAUACCCACCUUAUCAGAGAUUCUCUACUGAUGAAUUCAGGGUUCAAAUUUUGCCUAGUGAAGUUACUAUACCAAUAUGAUUAUGCACAUGAAGCUCGGGCUGCCUGCCAUGUUAUUGACACUGACUACAUGAUGUUUGUUACUCAUAAGAAGAAUGACUUUGAACCGAGUGCAAGACAUUUGCUAGGUACUGCCCAAAUAUUCCUGAUGUUGCCUGGAAAAAACGAAGGAGCAGUCAAUAUGCAAUUUCAUGGAACAAUGCAUGGUGUACAGGUAUACUGGUUAUUAUCUUCUCCCUCUGGGUAUCAUAGGUUGAAUUCUUGGUUCCUUCGGUACAACAGCUGCAACAUGCACAAGUGUGAAAAUGAUACACACCAUGAUCCGAGGUAUUUUCUCUGA
rnacentral:rRNA from 1 species